rnacentral:rRNA from 1 species
GACGAACCGAGCGAACGUUGUUCGGAAUCACUGGGCUUAAAGGGCGCGUAGGCGGGCUGUCGCGUCCGGGGUGAAAUCCCGCGGCUCAACCGCGGAACGGCCUCGGAUACGGGCGGCCUCGAGGGGGGGUAGGGGCAUCUGGAACUGUGAGUGGAGCGGUGAAAUGCGUUGAUAUUCACAGGAACUCCGGUGGCGAAGGCGAGGUGCUGGACCCCAUCUCG